rnacentral:lncRNA from 1 species
GAUACAUAAGACUUCUGUAUUGAAAAUUACACUAUGGAGUUAUUCAGAAUUUGCUGACUUUAAAGCUGGCAUGGAAGGAAGAACAGUAAUUAAAUCUGUUAUCCUCCAGAGACGGUAAUGCUUCAAGCUUUAAAAUGAGCAUAUGGAAAGACCACCUCUGACAACAAAAUGCAGAAGAGGAAGCAAUUAACGAGCAACUUAACAAUUGAUAAGCCAAGUGUUGACUAUGUGGUGGACUGACUCUUUCAAACUUCUUGUGAG